GACGAACGCUGGCGGCGUGCUUAACACAUGCCAGUCGAACGGUGAAGGGACCGGUUUUUGCUGGUUCUGGAUGAGUGGCGAACGGGUGAGUAACACGUGAGUAACCUGCCCCCUUCUUCUGGAUAACCGCAUGAAAGUGUGGCUAAUACGGGAUAUUCUGCGCCUGCUGCAUGGUGGGUGUGGGAAAGAUAUUGUUUCGGUGGGGGAUGGGCUCGCGGCCUAUCAGCUUGUUGGUGGGGUGAUGGCCUACCAAGGCGGUGACGGGUAGCCGGCCUGAGAGGGUGGACGGUCACACUGGGAAUGAGGCACGGCCCAGACUCCUACGGGAGGCAGCAGUGGGGAAUAUUGCACAAUGGGCGCAAGCCUGAUGCAGCGACGCCGCGUGAGGGAUGGAGGCCUUCGGGUUGUAAACCUCUUUCGCCAGUGAAGCAGGCCUGUCCCUUUUGUGGGUGGGUUGACGGUAGCUGGAUAAGAAGCGCCGGCUAACUACGUG
rnacentral:rRNA from 1 species